AAUAUGAAGUCGCCGAGCUCCACCUGGAGACGGGGGACCCAAGUUUUUUUGGGGCGCAGUCCGCAAGGACGGAGUACUUUCAAGCUCUAGCCCGACAGCUAACCCCGUAGGCGGAUUUGAGAGUCACC
rnacentral:sRNA from 20 species